rnacentral:rRNA from 1 species
CGGAGAGGCUCGUAGAGUAGAUCCUGGCUCAGGCUGGAUCAACCAUAUAUGGUUCUGUCCAUCAGUCGCGAACGAUCGAGUAAUACGAGAGCAAUCUGCCCCUGACUCUGGGAUAAGCGCUGGAAACGGCGUCUAAUACCGGAUACGAGCUGCGACCGCAUGGUCAGUAGCUGGAAAGAAUUUCGGUCAGGGAUGAGCUCGCGGCCUAUCAGCUUUUGGGAAACCUAAAGGCCCACCAAGGCCCCCACAAGAAUUUGGCUUAAGGGGGGGACCGGGCAAACUGGGAAUUUGACACGGGGGAGAUUUUUUUGCCCCCCAGCAUUUGGCCCCAAUGCAAAAGCUUUGAAUCCCAGGCAAAGUUUCCCCCUUUGAAGGUUGACCGCCUUCGGGUUGUAAACCUUUUUUCGGAGGGAAGAAGCGAAAGGGACGGUACCCGAAGAAAAAGCGCCGGGUAUCUACGUACCAGCAGCCGCCGUAAUACGUAGGGCGCCAGGGUUAUCCGGAACUAGUGGGCGUAAAGAGCUAGUAGGCCGUUGUUCGGUUCUGCUGUGAAAAUCCAAGGAUCAAGCUUGGGCCUGCAGUGGGUACGGGCAGACUAGAUUGUGGUAGGGGAGAAUGGAACUCCCGGAGUAGCCGUGGAAUGCGCAGAUAUCAGGAGGAACCCCGAUGACGAAGGCAGAUCUCUGGGACGUAACUGUCGCUGAGGAGCGAAAGGGUGGUGAGCAAACAGGCUGAGAUGUCCUGGUAGUACCCUUCGUAAAUGAUGGGAAACUAGUUGUGGGGUGCAUUUCACGGAUUCCGUGUCGUAGCUAUCGCAUUAAGUUCCCCGCCUGGGGAGUCCGGGCGCAAGGCUAAAACUCAAAGGAAUUGACGGGGACGCGCACAAGCGACGGAGCAUGCGGAUUAAUUCGAUGCAACGCGAAGAGCCUUAGCAAGGCUUGACAUAUAGAGGAAACGUCUGGAAACAGUCGCCCCGCAAGGUCUCUAUACAGGUGGUGCAUGGUUGUCGUCAGCUCGUGUCGUGAGAUGUUGGGUUAAGUCCCGCAACGAGCGCAACCCUCGUUCUAUGUUGCCAGCACGUAAUGGUGGGAACUCAUGGGAUACUGCCGGGGUCAACUCGGAGGAAGGUGGGGAUGUCGUCAAAUCAUCAUGCCCGUUAUAUCUUGGGCUUCGUGCAUGCUACAAUGUGCGGUACAAAGGGCUGCAAUCGCGUGAGGUGGAGCGAAUCGCAAAAACACGGUCCCAGUUCGGAUUGAGGUCUGCAACUCGUCCUCAUGAAGUGGGAGUCGCUAGUAAUCGCAGAUCAGCAGUCGCUGCGGUGAAUCCGUUACCGGGUGCAGUCUCCAUAGAGUUUAAAGUCACGAAAGGCGGGACCACCUGAAUCCGGUGGCUGAUGGCUGGAUCACCUCCUUAGAGUUUGAUUCCUGGCUCAGGCUGGUCACCUCUCUAGAGU